rnacentral:misc_RNA from 1 species
GUGAAUCAUCGAAUCUUUGAACGCACAUUGCGCCCCUUGGUAUUCCGAGGGGCAUGCCUGUUCGAGCGUCAUUUCAAACCUCAAGCUUCUGCUUGGUAUUGAGCUUCUCCGCCUGCCCAGCAGGCGGUGCUCGAAACUCGUGGGCGGCGAAAGUCCAGCGUAGUAAGCGUAGUCAUAACAAAUUCCGCUCUCUGUCGCCUCUUUCUGCUCGCCAGAUAAACACUUUUUAUCAAGGUUUGACCUCGGAUCAGGUAGGAAUACCCGCUGAACUUAAGCAUAUCAAUAAGCGGAGGA